GGCCGGAUAUGUAGAUCAUUCUGAAGAAGGGGCUCGAGCCGAAACCUCGCCUAUCCAGUUCUCCAGCGGUACUGUCUGACCCGCUGAGUUACUCCUGCACUCUGUGACUUGUUUUUUUUUACCGGAGAUGGUUUGGGCAGGGUGUCAGCUGGGUCAAGGCGGGGACUGAGGGUUCGGUUUUCAACACAGAGGGUAGGAACAUGGAACUGCGCCUGCUGAUGCACACAAGAAGACAAAGACGGUGUUAUUCCAGUCUAAUGUAACCCCACUUUUAAAAAGGGGAGGGAGAGAGAAAACGGGGAUUACAGACCAGUUAGUCUAACAUCGGUGGUGGGGGAAAUUCUGGAGUCAGUUAUUAAAGAUGGGAUAGCAGCACAUUUGGAAAGUGGUGAAUUCGUUGGACAAAGUCAGCAUGGAUUUGUGAAAGGAGAAACACGAAUAUCUCGGAGAAAACCCACGGUCACGGGGGGAGAACGUACAGUCUCCGUACAGACAGCACCCGUAGUCGGGACCGAACUCGGGUCUCGGGCGCUGCAUUCGCUGUAAGGCGACAACUCUACCGCUGCGCCACCGUGACCGUGACCUGAAGACAUCAUUUGAAGUGAUGCUGCCUGACCCGCUGAGAUGCUCCAGCACUAUGUGUCCAUCUUCGGUAUAAACCAGCACCUGCAGUUCGGUAUUAACCAGCACCUGAUGUCCUGGAAUACCUGUCGCUGAGGAAGGGGUUGGUGCGAGGUGAAAGUGGGGUAAAGAUGCUACUAAGACGGAAUGAACGCAGAGAAGAUCCUUGAGGAUGUUGCUUGGACUCGAGGGCCUGAGCUAUAGGGAGAGGUUGGGCAGGGUAAGGCUUUAUUCCUUGGGGCACAGGAGGCUGAGGGGCGAUGCAAUAUAACGUCGGGUUAUGGUUCCAUAGAAUAAGGUGAUUAUUUUGCGUGGGAAGGAACUGCAGAUGCUUGUUUAAACUGAACGCUGCAGUAACUCAGCGGGACAGGCAGCAUCUCUGGA